rnacentral:rRNA from 1 species
UUGGAACAGGACGUCACAGAGGGUGAGAAUCCCGUGCUUGGCUGGCUGUCCCCGUCCAUGUGAGGUGUCUUCGACGAGUCGAGUUGUUUGGGAAUGCAGCUCAAAAUGGGUGGUAAAUUUCAUCUAAAGCUAAAUAUUGGUGGGAGACCGAUAGCGCACAAGUAGAGUGAUCGAAAGAUGAAAAGCACUUUGAAAAUAGAGUUAAAAAGUACGUGAAAUUGUUGAAAGGGAAGCGCUUGAGACCAGACUUCGGUAAGGGGUGAUCAGCCGUCCUUCUGGGCGGUGCACUUGCCCCCCUCCGGGCCAGCAUCGGUUGAGGCGGCGGGAUAAAGGUCCCGGGAAUGUGGCUCCUUCACGGGAGUGUUAUAGCCCGGGUGAAUGCCGCCAGCUUCGACCGAGGACCGCACCCGCAAGGGUUAGGAUGCUUGGCAUAAUGGUCUUCAGCGAC